rnacentral:rRNA from 1 species
GAAAAAUUUUAGGUAGAUCUCACAAGUGACUAUGCUGAUAUGAGUAACGAAAAAUCAUGUGAAAUACAUGAUCACCGAAACUUCAAGGUUUUCUACGCAUUGUGAAUCAGCGUAGAGUAAAACGGCCCCUAAGAUGAAAUAAGACCCGAAAGGGUAUGUCGAUGGGAAAUUCUUUUGAAAAUUCAU